rnacentral:rRNA from 1 species
UACGUAGGGUGCGAGUGUUGUCCGGAAUUAUUGGGCGUAAAGAGCUUGUAGGUGGUUUGUCGCGUCUGCUGUGAAAAUCCGAGGCUCAACCUCGGACUUGCAGUGGGUACGGGCAGACUAGAGUGUGGUAGGGGAGACUGGAAUUCCUGGUGUAGCGGUGGAAUGCGCAGAUAUCAGGAGGAACACCGAUGGCGAAGGCAGGUCUCUGGGCCAUUACUGACACUGAGAAGCGAAAGCGUGGGGAGCGAACAGG